GUAAGACCCUGUUUAUUUUCUAAAGAAUUGAAAUAUUUUUCUUAGUCAUUAAGAUGAAAUUUAUCGGUCUGAUCGAAAAGAGGUCCAGGAUAUUUACAAAACUAAAGCUAGCUCAGCGGUACCGUAAGUAACCAAAUACGGUUUACACUUAGCGUUUCCCCUCGGGAAUCAUUUUUAUGGGUUUCGAUAAAAGAGUCUGAGAUAAAUAUUUGGUUUAUAAAAUUCAUUUGAGUUUUGGUCACUAAAGAGUGAAGUUAUUUAAUAAAAACAAUAAAGGGUGUUGCGACGUGAAAUAAGCUGUGUUGGUUUGGUGUAGUGUUUUACUACAAGAAAGGGUCUACACGUCACCAUCUCUACUUUGGAGUCGCCCAAGCGCCCAGUUGUUUUACAAG
rnacentral:lncRNA from 1 species